rnacentral:rRNA from 1 species
UGGGGAAUAUUGCACAAUGGGGGAAACCCUGAUGCAGCGACGCCGCGUGAACGAAGAAGGUAUUCGUAUCGUAAAGUUCUGUCCUAUGGGAAGAUAAUGACAGUACCAUAGAAGAAAGCUCCGGCUAAAUACGUGCCAGCAGCCGCGGUAAUACGUAGGUGGCAAGCGUUGUCCGGAUUUAUUGGGCGUAAAGCGAGCGCAGGCGGUCAAUUAAGUCUGAUGUGAAAGCCCCCGGCUCAACCGGGGAGGGUCAUUGGAAACUGGUUGACUUGAGUGCAGAAGAGGAGAGUGGAAUUCCAUGUGUAGCGGUGAAAUGCGUAGAUAUAUGGAGGAACACCAGUGGCGAAGGCGACUCUCUGGUCUGUAACUGACGCGGAGGCUCGAAAGCGUGGGUAGCAAACAGG